AUUGGGCUUAUGAAGUUCUAAUUGGAUUAGGAUUUAGUGAAGUCCUGUUUGGUUUAAGAGAACCAUGCUAACACAUGGUUAAACCCAAUUCUUCUCUGAACUUCGAUUGGAUCAAGUCCAUUGCCUUGAACCUAAUCUAAAUCUAUUUAAUUUAGUUUUAGUAGGGUACUUAAUUAUGAGUCCAAAAGAAUUAGAUUAAGUCAAUGAGUUGGUUAACUAAUCUUCUCUUUUUCUCCCUUGAUUUCCUAAUGUAGCGCGAAAUUAAUGGAAAGA
rnacentral:lncRNA from 1 species